ACCCAGCUGGCGAGUCCCAAAGAGAACGAAACGCGCGUCCUGGAU
rnacentral:hammerhead_ribozyme from 1 species